UUGAGACUAAACCUCAGUUUUGAAAAGCAAUCCAAAAUUGCUUUUAACACCUCAUUCUCGCCUCUCUGCCCAUUAAAAAAAAUAGCCACACAAAUAUUAUGGAGAAAUAACUGUUGGAAAAAAUUAAAAAACAACCCUUAGAAGAUCUGAAAAUCUUGCCCUAGCACCAUAGUUGUUUACCAUUGUUGAGAUCUAUCAUCUCCUUCCUAAAUUUUUUCAGCCUUGUUAUUUCCCUUUGUUUUGUUCUCUCCUCUUGAUCUUCUCUCCAACUUGCUUCCUCCUAUUUUCUUGAGAUUACCUUGUUAGAUUCGACUUACAAAAGAUCUAUGUUGGGAAACUGAAACAAAAACAACUAAAGGUGUUGAGAAACUUGUUCUGGUAGCAAACACAGACUGAAAUAAAAGUAACAUGCCCUCUGUCGCACGUAAACUGCAUCGCGACGAUCAUCCUCUCGGAUCGGGAUUGUAGAGAAUUGUGUGGGUGGAAAUGGGUUUAACAAUUAGGAUUCCUGAUGGGUUGAUAUAUGUCUUUCCUAAUGAUAGGGUUAACCGGAUUCUCUGAUGAUAGGGUUGAAUUUCCUGGUGCUUCCUGAUUGUAGAGUUGAUGUAUCUUUCAUUAUGGGUUGACCUGAAGACUCUUCCUAAUGACAAGGGUUUGAAAACUUGGUGCUACUUUAUUGCAGGGUUGACCUGAAGACUCUUCCUGAUGACAGGGUUGAUCUUCUCCUUUAUCUUAAGAAUUGAAUAGUAGGGUUCUCCUCACUUUCCUUCCUGAUUGCAAGGUUUAAAAGUUAAUACUUCCCGAUCUAGGGGUUUGAACUUGGUUCUUCCUGAUUGUAGGGUUUAACUGAGAUUCAUUGCUAUCAUAGCUCAAUGAUUCUUUCUUUGUCAACUCGGAUUCAUCAAAAUCUUACUAGAUGUAAUUGGGGAUUUUUUCUAAGAAAUUCAAAAAUAUUUAUGCAAUAGGGUUAAAUGA